UUGUGGAAGCUUCAUCCAAAAGGGCCUGUGGGAGAGUGGGGUUCAGUGGGAUCCGAAGUGAGGUCAACGACUUCAUUAUGUACUGAAUGACUUCCUUUGGUAUAGCUUUUUCAUAAUUUUGGAAUAGCAUAUCUACCAGUGGGCUUGUACUCAUUUACCUUCGAUCGGGGCUAUGGUGCCGACCUUGGGGAUCGGAUAGGUCCGAAGUGAGAUUCCCACUACCACGUGUCUUUGAUAUGAGUGAUAAACUAUCCC
rnacentral:lncRNA from 1 species